rnacentral:rRNA from 1 species
UGCCAGCARCCGCGGUAAUACGUAGGUGGCAAGCCGUUGUCCGGAAUUAUUGGGCGUAAAGCGCGCGCAGGCGGCUUCUUAAGUCUGAUGURAAAUCUCGGGGCUCAACCCCGAGCGCGCCAUUGGAAACUGGGGAGCUUGAGUGCAGAAGAGGAGAGUGGAAUUCCACGUGUAGCGGUGAAAUGCKUAKAGAUGUGGAGGAMCACCAGUGRCGAAGRCGACUCUMUGGUCUGUAACUGAMCCUGAGGCGCGAAAGCGUGGGGAGCAAACAGGAUUAUGAUWCCCUGGUAGUCCAAGGGCAAAUUCUCGGCCU